AUUUUCUUAUCUCUCAUCGUCUCAUCGAGUUCUCCUCCUCUUAUUUUUUCUUCAAUUCAAAAGCUAGGACGAGAUCUGUAAAAUCAAACCAAGUUUUCUGAAAUCAAAACCGGUCUCUUCUAAACCCUAAACUCAAUCAGAAACUAAACUCAAUCUUUCAGUACAUCAAAUUUAAUAAACCCUAGAAAUUGUUUCUUUUGUACUCUUAAAUAAUUCUGUAAGGUGUGCUUGGUUUUAACUUGAAGUUUCUUUUUGUAAUGGUGAAAUAGUCAUAGAUCUGUUACCUUAGUCAGAUUCUGUUUAUUUUCUUAUUUUUUUCUUUUAAAGCAGUAGAUUUACAAUUCUUCUUCCUAAUUAUUUCAUAAUCAACAAGUGGAGAUAAUUCCAGUUCUUAGCUUUCAAUCUUUGUUUUAGACUCUCACGUUGAGGUUAUCGAUUGCAGAUCCUAUUCAGAUUGGGUUUUCGGUUAACUUGCUUAAGUAAGAAAUUGGUCAAGAAAAUCAACACAUAAAAGGCAAAGACAGUAUUUCGAGCAAAAGAAACGGCAACAACAUUCCAAUGGAGAUGACGAUGCUGAAGGAACUUAUGGGUCUAUUGAGUACCAUCGGAGACCUAAAUCGUUGGAUAUCUUAAGUUUGUUGAACUUGGUGGGAGAGGCCAAGGGGGGGUAAUUCUGGAUGCAACAAUAAUAAUUUUAUUGAUUUAAUGUGUCAUUUUAUAGGAUCAUAUUGCUUUCUGGCUGUAGCUAACUCACCCCCUUUGCAUUUUCCUUCCUGUAAAAAUGCUGAUAAAAGCAGCGGAUGGUCUGGCGCCGCUGAAUUAUCAAGUCCCUAAGGACAUGCAUAAGGUAGCGAAAAUCUCAGUCCUGAGAUUUUCACCCGUGAACUACCAGCUUCAGAAGGACACAAUAGAGACUACAUCACCAUCCAAAGAAGAGAAAUGUGCAUCCCCCGAAAGUGCCACUGCAAUAGAAAUUUGGGCUGGCUAAAUCCUGCAUCGGAUAAAAUACCGAACAAGUUCAGAAAAUUGGUAUGUUAAAUCAGUCAUAAUUUAGCUCUCUACUCCGAGAUUAUAUUGAAGUCCUACAAUGUAUUAGUCGUCUCCUUUAGUUGUACAAGUUCUAUAAAGCAUUUACUAUGUCUAUUUCUGAUCUCUUGUAGAAAGUAUAAGUUAUGCGUAUGUAACCCAUGUUGGAAGAGAGACUAUUGUAAGGAUACUAUUGGUUCACCAUAUGUUCAUAUGAAAAAUUGAGUGUUCUAUUUGAUCUA